rnacentral:misc_RNA from 1 species
UAGCCCGUUACUGGUACGCAGCUACGCACUACACCGCGGUGUUGGUGCAGCCUCUCCGAAGACAAAGGCGCAGCAGUCAUGGCGACUUUCGGCCGACUUGUUAGAACCGCCAGGGCGUGGCGUGAAAUCGCGUAUCCCAAAACCCUCAACCUCUCUCGUGUCCGCUCACAUGACUUCCUUCGCCGUCUUCAUCACCGGUCUGCAUCAGAAAUUCUACGGCCACUAUUGCUGCCUAAUGCUGAUCGCACUUACUCAACACUUCCAGCUAUUUUAUCUGCUUUCUUUGGAGUUGGAAUGCUACAAGUAGCCUAUGCGGAUUCUGAUCAGGCUGCUGCUGAACCUUCAUUGCCGUCGGAAUCUCCUUCAAGUUAUAAGGACCUAGAGGAGAUUGCCAAGCAAGAAAGGCAGCGAAUUGAGGAGCUGCUUAAAAGUAAAGGAGUUAGAUUCGGUUAUUACCCCCGCUUCACUGUUGCUGUUAAGGGUCAAAAGGUCACGAUCAAGUUUCAAAUUCCUCCUGCAUGUGAUGUUCCACAGUUGAUUGCAAACCUGGUUUCAAAUCUUGGACUGAAGGUUGAUGAGCGUGGUGGUGGUUCAGACAUGCUGUUACGUGCCUGGGACAGUGCAGUUGCAUGGCAACUAACACUUAGCUGUCCAGAAAAACAGAAGAAACCUGAUGGGGACACAGGACAUUCUGCAGAUGUUAAUACAACUGAGGGAAAUCUAUGCAUUCUCAUAUUUCGUUCACUCAUUAGCACAGAUAAAGCAGAAAUUGAGUUUAUAAAGGGUGGAAGCUUAAGCACCAAAGAGCUUGAAGCUCUGGUGUCUGUUCUACAAUUAGCUGGUGGGAGAUUGAAGAUUUCAGAAAGAACAGAAAGAAAACCAGGGGAAGGUGCUGCUCGAAUGCCGUCUGCAGAAAAAUCAGUUGCCACUUUGGAGUCCAUGGGAGUCAGAAUAUAUGGACUCGAUGAACCACAUGUAAAUUCUUCUAGUGGUGAGAUAACAUGGGACAAUAUUGCUGGGUAUGAUCAGCAAAAACGGUAUGUAACAUGAAUGUCCAAUGUACAACCUUUAUUAUUACAUUUUGAUUGAAUUUAAUUUUUUUUUUCUUGCAUUUGUUAGCGUGAUAUUAUAAGAAUUGGGAUAAUAAUACAAUGAAAUUGGCGUUUUAGGCCCAAUGUUUGAGGACCUGUCAACAUGUAAUGGGAAUUUUUACUUAGCCGAAUUAUUUAUAUUUCAACAGUUGAGUCUCAAUUUAUUAUGUAUGGAAAUCAGAUUGGUUUUCUUAAUGAGCCAGAAUGACUCAUUAGUCAAAUUUGUGUUCAUUUUGCUGUGCUAUCUCUGCAGAAGAGUGCAUAUAUGUGGUUAUCAUGGGAUGGACUUACAAGCACAUAUUGUUUUACUGUUUAGUAUCAUGCUUCUAGUCAUAUGCAUGAAAGUGCUGACAGAUACUCCUCUUUAACUGGCCAUUAUCUAGAGAAAUAGAAGAUACAAUCUUGUUGGCUCUUCAUAGUCCUGAAGUAUAUGAUGAUAUUGCUCGUGGGACACGGCGUAAGUUUGAGUCAAAUAGACCUCGAGCUGUGCUUUUUGAAGGUCCACCAGGUUCAUCUUCUAGCCAAGAUCUCAGGGAAAUAUGUUGUUGAAAGUGAUUUCUUUAUUAUUAUUAUUAUUCAUGUGUAAGAAUAAUGUUUAUGGUGCUUCUACAUUUUUUUUGUCAACCUUUGGAAGCCUGAAGGGCAUCAAACACAUAUAGGCCUGCCUUCCACUCCAAAGCUUUAUUGUAUUAUUUUGAUCACAAAACUACAUGAUUCUUGGCCUUAAUUUUUGAAUGAUUAGUGAAAUACAUAAAACAUUGUUGUUUGUUCUGUUGAUUGUCAGUAUUCCUAUCUGCCUGUAUAAUCAUUUCAUUUGGUUUGUACACCUAUAUUGUAGCGAGACACGUACUUAGUUGAUAUGGACAAGCCUGCUUAUAAUUUAUGAUAAUUUCCAGGCACAGGGAAGACAUCUUGUGCACGUGUUAUCGCUAAUCAAGCGGUGAGCCACAGUACUUAAUAGACAAUAUCAGUACUUUUCACCUUAAUACUAUCCUUGCAUUCUUCUUCUUUGUCUUUCUAAUUUUAUUUAAAUCAUUCUUAGUUAAAUUUGAUCAUGCCUUUUGAGUUGUGCCAAUGAGAAGAAAUUUCUCAGAACUUUGAUUCUGAGUUAUUUCAUAAGGUGUCCUUACCCAUGUGAUCUUUUGUCCAUGGAUUGGUAUCCUUCCUCUCUCUCUUCUAAAGGAAUUUGAACCUGAUAAAGACAAGGAUUGCUGGUAUGUCAAUAGUAAUUUCCUGAAAUAAGAAUACAUGUAUGCUGUUUAUUGCUUGCUUGAGUUGCUGAUAUGCUAAUUUAAUUAAGAGUAAAUUAAUGUGUGUCCUGGAGAGUUUUUCACCUGCGUGAUACAAACUUCAGGAUAAGAUAUACUGAUAGCAUCUGAGUUUUACUUUACCCUUGAUGUAAAAUCUCGUCCGCAACACUUGAUAUAAAGAAAUCAAAUAUGCAUAUGUUUAUGCCUUGACAGGGUGUCCCAUUGCUAUAUGUGCCUUUGGAGGUUGUGAUGUCAAAAUACUAUGGGGAAAGUGAACGAUUGUUGGGAAAAGUUUUCUCACUUGCUAAUGAGCUUCCUAAUGGUGCUAUCAUUUUUCUGGAUGAGGUUGAUUCUUUUGCCAUUGCUCGUGAUAGUGAAAUGCAUGAAGCUACACGUAGAAUUUUGUCAGUUUUAUUGCGACAGAUUGAUGGAUUUGAACAGGAUAAGAAAGUGGUUGUCAUUGCUGCAACAAAUAGAAAACAAGACCUUGAUCCUGCUUUAAUGAGCCGAUUUGAUUCAAUGAUUACUUUUGGCCUCCCUGAUGAGAAAAACCGUCAGGAAAUUGUUGCCCAAUAUGCAAAGCACCUAACCAAAUCAGAUAUGGAGGAGCUUGCCAAAGUCACAGAAGACAUGUCUGGAAGGGAUAUUAGGGAUGUUUGUCAACAAGCUGAAAGGUCGCGGGCAUCAAAGAUAAUCCGAGGACAGGCAGAUAAAGAUGGAGAGCAAGGGUGCCUUCCAUCUUUGGCAGAAUAUAUUGAAAGUGCUAUGAAUAGGCGAAAGGCUAUACUUAGCAUUGCAAAUCAAAGAAGUCCAGGUUUUAAUCCACGCACAAGCAGAGGUCAAUUAGAUUUAUGUUAAGAGUAUGCAAAGAUGCGAUGAUAAUGAAUACACAUAAUUAGCAGGAGUAUUGCUUGCAAUUGAACAUUCUCUUUAUAAUGUAUAGACUAUAAAUAUCAUUUUUGUGUUUUGUAAACACAAUAUCUUCUGUCAGUGAUCAUAUGAUGUCUGUGGCUACGAUUGAUUCUCACUAAAUUCAUCAGCGAAAUGAAAUACUUGAGGAUAACAGCUCAAUAUCAAUACGAAGCUCACAUGGUUUCUGCUUGACUGGAAAGAAGAGUAAAUGGUAAUACAAAUGAAGUACCAGUGCCAGUGUCAUCGCGAACUUCAAAAGCUUAGCAAUAAAGCUCCUCCCCGGUAAAUCACGAAUGCAAACAAAAAGCCUACUCAGUUGAGCGAAGCAAAGCUUUUGAUUGAAGAAAGUGAGAUAAUGACUUUGUCUCGGAGGCAUGCCUGGUUGAAAGCUGGCUGCCAGAUCGUCCAAACUAGCAGCUCUUGGAGUCAAAACUUAGUUGGCUGUUAGAAUCUUCGCUGACGAGGUCAGCUGCGUUGAGAUUGUCCGUCAAGAAGUCAAACAACUUUUUCUAUUAGGAAUUCAAACAGACUAUUGACAUAUUUGAUCUGUUCUUCUGAGCAGCUUAUGCUUUAGUAGCUACCGUUUCACUGGCUCUAGUAUUCACUGGCUUUCAAGGAAUGGAAUAUUAUCAAGCACCCUUCACUAUUUCGGAUAGUAUUUAUGGUUCUACCUUUUUCUUAGCAACUGGCUUUCAUGGUUUUCAUGUGAUUAUAGGUACUCUUUUCUUGAUCAUAUGUGGUAUUCGCCAAUAUCUUGGUCAUCUGACCAAGGAGCAUCACGUUGGCUUUGAAGCAGCUGCAUGGUACUGGCAUUUUGUAGACGUGGUUUGGUUAUUCCUAUUUGUUUCUAUCUAUUGGUGGGGGGGUAUAUGAAGGAACGAAACAGUGGAUUGAGGAAUGAAAGCUCGAAGACAAAGAGAACCGGGCUUUUCCAAAGAAUUACUGCAGCUUUGCUGCUCCCUUUUUUUAUCAUAUACAAAAAAGUCUCUUCCACUUUCCUACUAAAUCUCUCUUUAUUCUGGCAUAUAAAUGAAGGGAUCGAAGAGAUUAUGGCAGAUUAUGUUCACCAAGAAAUGACCCGAAAUUGGAUCUUGGUCUAUUUGAGAUUGUUCCUUUUAAUCGUAAUCAAAGAUGUUUUCUUGUCUCUCGUUUUCUUCUGAAUAAAUCGAAGAACCUAAUGGAUCGA